AUAAAGGAAAAAAGCAGAAGGUAAUAGUAAAAUGUCCAUUUCAUCAUAAUUUUUUCCAAUGAUUAUCAUACUAAUAUUGAUUUCCUUUUUUUCGUUUUGUAACGAACAUUUGUGCGCACAAUGACUGCACCCUCUUCAGCAGCUCAGUUUGCAGCAUCUUCAAUGCCUUCUUCAACUCAGAUGUCAAUUUUGUCACAAGCUUCAAGUUCAAGGGGUCAACCAAGUCAUUGAUGCAAAUGGGUGGUUUUUUUGUUUGCUGCAGCAGCAGGUUAACUUGUGCAUCUCUUUGUCUAUCUGCACUUUUCCAAUCAUCAGAUUCGUGAAGCCACAAACACCAUGUUGUUCAAGAUUUUCAAAGAGGACUAUGCCACACUUCAAGACUUACGCAACUUU